AACGAACGCUGGCGGCAGGCUUAACACAUGCAAGUCGAACGCAUCCUUCGGGGUGAGUGGCAGACGGGUGAGUAACGCGUGGGAACGUGCCCUUCAGUUCGGGAUAACCCAGGGAAACUUGGGCUAAUACCGGAUACGUGCGAGAGGAGAAGGGUUUAUAGCUGAAGGAUCGGCCCGGGUCUGGUUAGCUAGUUGGUGGGGUAAUGGCCCACAAAGGUGACGAUCAGUAGCUGGUCUGAGAGGAUGAUCAGCCACAUUGGGACUGAGACACGGCCCAAACUCCUACGGGAGGCAGCAGUGGGGAAUAUUGGACAAUGGGCGCAAGCCUGAUCCAGCCAUGCCGCGUGAGUGAUGAAGGCCUUAGGGUUGUAAAGCUCUUUCGUCCGGGACGAUAAUGACGGUACCGGAAGAAGAAGCCCCGGCUAANUUNGUGCCAGCCGCCGCCGUAA
rnacentral:rRNA from 1 species